rnacentral:rRNA from 1 species
UACGGGGGGUGCGAGCGUUGUCCGGAAUCACUGGGCGUAAAGGGCGCGUAGGUGGUUUGAUAAGGGUGUGGUGAAAGUCCGGGGCUCAACCCCGGAUCUGCCGUGCCGACUGUCAAACUCGAGGGCUGUAGAGGCAGACGGAAUUCCGGGUGUAGCGGUGGAAUGCGUAGAGAUCCGGAAGAACACCGGUGGCGAAGGCGGUCUGCUGGGCAGUUGCUGGACACUGAGGCGCGACAGCGUGGGGAGCAAACAGGG